rnacentral:lncRNA from 1 species
CCUUAUUAUGAGCUCUUUGUAAGGGAAGAGCCAAAGUCCCCCAUCCUGCAGACACUUAAGCAUGUCCUUGUGUUUAACGCUAUGAAUAGUCGCACAGGCUCCUCUGGGAGGAUACUUGGAUACUGAAAGUCAAGCACAUAACAAAGUGUGUGCAGGAUCACUGCCUAGGGAAUGAAACAGAGAUGGCUGCAGAAAAAAAAUCCUUAAUGAGACUCUCUUAAAAGGAACACUGGCGUUAUUAAACUGGAAAUUCUAACCAUUCUGCAAAGGAGAAUGAAUCAAGCUUGGAGCUUUUUGGGAAGAGAAAAGGACAGAAGAAGAACAAAGAGAAGACAUAAGAAUAAAUGAAACGUACUCCAGUUGAUUGGAAGAACCACCGAAGGAGUCUGGAGGCAACUGGAAUUCCACUGUGUUGAGUGCUGCAUGAAUAGCUAGAGACAGUCCUUUUGCACCAUGCAUCAGGCGAAACAACAGCAAUCUCCUAAAAGAUAAACAACUGCAAGAUGUCUCUUUCAUUUCAACUGGCCAAAAAGGAGACAAUGCAGACUGAUCACCAAAUACUUUUUCCAGCCUUUAAGAUAAGUGGGGCUAAGAAAUAGAAACUUAAAGGAGAGGAGGGGGAGUAUGAAGCGAUGUUUAAUGCCUUUGGCAUUAUUUCUUUUAGCAGUGAAUACUAAACGAUUUUCAAACUGAGAUCAUAGUUGAACAGGCAGAAAAAGAAAAUGUCAUUUUGUCUAUGAAGUUCUCAGAAAGAUGAACCUGUCAGGAGACAGAGAAAUAGGUCACAAGCAAGUUAAUGGAAAGUAAUAAAUGGAA